AAGGGGGUAGCAAUACAACCGGCGCACGGGUGAGUAACGCGUACACAACAUACCAUAUACGUGGAGUAUAGCUUUAGGGAAACUGAAGGUAAUCCUCCAUAACAUUGCGAGAGGGCAUCUGAUUGCAAUUAAAGUUUCGGCGGUAUAUGAUUGGUGUGCGUUUGAUUAGCUAGUUGGUAGGGUAACGGCCUACCAAGGCGACGAUCAAUAGCUGGCGUGAGAGCGCGACCAGCCACACUGGAACUGAGACACGGUCCAGACUCCUACGGGAGGCAGCAGUAGGGAAUAUUGGACAAUGGAGGAAACUCUGAUCCAGCCAUGCCGCGUGAUAGAUGAAGGCCCUCUGGGUUGUAAAUAUCUUUAUCUGGGAAGAAACACUCCUAUUCUUAGGAACUUGACGGUACCAGAGGAAUAAGCACCGGCUAACUCCGUG
rnacentral:rRNA from 1 species